rfam:Thermobifida fusca YX, complete genome.
GGGGGUGAUCGGUUUCGACUUCGAUGGUUGUUGUAGGGGAAGCGGGCCGAGGAGAGCGGACGCAGCCUCGUUAAAAAUGCGACCGCGAAAAAAUAAGUGCCAACUCUAAGCGCACUGAGUUCGCUCUCGCUGCUUGAUCGAGAGUGACUCUGUCGGCCUGGGAGCGUCUCCGACCCAGUGUCCGGCAUCGUUGAGGAGACUUGCCGGUCAGAUCAGGCCACAGGAUCUGACUGGGACAUGCUCUGUGGCUGGGCCUGUCGGCGACUUGUCUGCGUGAGCGCCGGGGCCGAGGAGAACGCUGAGCAGACUGCGCCCGGAGAAGCCCUGCUGCAGCAUCGAAGGACGCGGGUUCGAUUCCCGCCACCUCCACGC